AUUGAACGCUGGCGGCAUGCCUUACACAUGCAAGUCGAGCGGAGAUGAGGUGCUUGCACCUUAUCUUAGCGGCGGACGGGUGAGUAAUGCUUAGGAAUCUGCCUAUUAGUGGGGGACAACAUUCCGAAAGGAAUGCUAAUACCGCAUACGUCCUACGGGAGAAAGCAGGGGAUCUUCGGACCUUGCGCUAAUAGAUGAGCCUAAGUCGGAUUAGCUAGUUGGUGGGGUAAAGGCCUACCAAGGCGACGAUCUGUAGCGGGUCUGAGAGGAUGAUCCGCCACACUGGGACUGAGACACGGCCCAGACUCCUACGGGAGGCAGCAGUGGGGAAUAUUGGACAAUGGGGGGAACCCUGAUCCAGCCAUGCCGCGUGUGUGAAGAAGGCCUUAUGGUUGUAAAGCACUUUAAGCGAGGAGGAGGCUACUGAGACUAAUACUCUUGGAUAGUGGACGUUACUCGCAGAAUAAGCACCGGCUAACUCUGUGCCAGCAGCCGCCGUAACAC
rnacentral:rRNA from 1 species